GUCUGGUCAUCCCACAGGACUGGUCAUCCUGCAGGACUGGUUAUCCUGCAGUACUGGUUAUCCCAUAGGACUGGUUGCCUCGUAGGACUGGUCAUCCCGCAGGACUGGUUAUCCCGCAGGACUGGUUGCCUCAUAGGAUUGGUCAUCCCACAGGACUGGUCAUCCUGCAGGACUGGUUAUCCCAUUGAAGGCAGUGCCACGGCUGCCUGGAUUCCCAGCCUUCCACAUACUGACAUGUGCAGGUCAUCUCCGAAUUUGAGGUUCUGCCCGAUUCAGCUUCUUAAUCUACUUAUUUUUCCUCUUCUCCACAUAACUUAAAAGAUGUUCUGCUUUCAUUCCUUUUAUCUUGUUACCCCUUACCUCUGGGGUCCUUCCCACCUCCUGAAUCCCGGGCAGCUGUGGAAUGGAGGAACCUUCCCCCCAGCCCUGUCUCUUUCUCCUCCAGCUCUGCCCCAGUGCUGCUGGUGUCCCUGUCUGCUUUGCAGCCCCCCUUCCUUGGUUUCUGGAAAGCUGCUCUGUCCUUGUUUGCAUCGAUGCUGUUGGCGGCACAGCUCCCUCCCAUGCCUCUGAGGGUAUCCCCAGGUUUCAGUCCUGCCCAUCCCCCUGUUCUCUCCCUGGGAUAAUGAUAAUUCAUCCACUCUUCUCUCCCUACAGGAGUCAGUCAUUCACUUCUCAAACAUUUAUCGAGUGCCUUUUAUACCCCAGGAACUGAUCCAGGCAUUGGAGUAGAAGGAUGAGGGCAAAAACUGGGUCCCUGCCUCCUGGAGUCCACAGUGAGGAGCGGGUAGUAAAUAGGCCUCCCCAGCACAGCUGGAAGGGCAACCCCUGGGGAAGUGCAGGCUCCCUGGGGGACCCUCAGGGGGCACCAUGCCUGACCUCACUGCACAGCCCCAUCCCUAAGCUCUCCCUUGCCCCUCCGCCUCCCGGAUGACCUAUCCACACUUCAGACAAAGCAGCUCCACAGGGAAACCCACAAUCUGUUCCUCCAAGCUAAGUGCCCUGCUGCUGGCCCAUUCUUGACACUGUGACCUGCGUCUCCCGCCCUGUGCGGGCUGCAAGCCUGGGAGUCCCACUACAGCUCUAGUUUCCCUUCAGAUCCUUACCCAGUCAGCCACCCACCCGGCAGCUCUUCUGCUGUCGUUGCGCUCAGCUCUGCUUCCGACUUUCCAUUCCUGUUGCCUCUGCCCACGGCCGGAGCCUCCCUGCCUCAUUCGUGCACUGUUUCGUAUUUAUAGAUGGGGUAUUUACUUCCUCAGAGAUUUAAAAAAGUUACCCAAGUGGUUCAUGUUCAUGGUGGAAAAUAAUUAGAAAAUAGAGAAAAAGAGAAAGAAGGAAGGAAGGAAGGAAGGAAGGAAGGGAGGGACGGGAAAACCACACAUUUCACCAUUCAGAUAAUGUCCCUAUUGAGCUGUGAUAGUUAUCCCUCUAGACUUUUUCCCGUGUAUCUAUCAAAAUAUCCUCAUCUAUCCAAAUGUGAAACAUGUCUUACAAAUCAUGAUUAUGUUAUCUAUAUUGUUUUGUAGUCGACUUCUUUAUACUUAGCUUCUAUGAUUGCUUUUCUGGAUCUAGAAAUAUAAUACUUUUUUUUCAUGGCUGUAUAAUUAUUGGAAGCAAUUUGCCCCUUCAUCUCUACGUCAUUUCAGUGUACUGUACACACCGCCCCUAAGUCAUUCUCACACUUGAUUGGUCUUGCUGCCCUUCUGCUGAAAAGCACAGGCAGCUUCCUAUGGCCCUCUGCCACCCGCCCCACAUUCCUCUUCUAUAGGAAAGGUUUUAUGCCUUUCUCAGUCUUCAGGAUUCUUUCUCUCCUCUGAAUAAGAUCUAUUAUUUGGACCAAGCUUGGUGGCUGUCAUAGGCUACACCUUGGGAUUAGGAGGGGCAGUUCCUGGGAUCCCACGGUGCCUUGCUCAUCGCUGUGCCCCUGCUCUGGCCCAUUCUCUCUCUCCCUCUUCCCAGUGUUGUAGGGUGUCACAUGCUGCCAGGUCUUGGGACUGAAGAGGUGACCAAAGUGCCUCCGAACUCCAGCUCCUACCGCAGUAGGGCAGAUACAGCCAUGAAAACAGACAAAUGCAACAGGGCAAGAUCACGACGCUGGGGAGGAAGAAAGGGUGUCCAUCGGGUGACAUUGGAGCUGGUCUUGCCCUGUGACAGGCACCUACAGAGCUCAGCUGGCAGUGACCAAAGAGGAUGACAGCAGGCAUUUCAGGGGUGGCAGAGGGGACUGGGGGCAGUGGGCAGCCUGGGAAGGGCAGGGGCCAGAUGGUGGGUGUUGGUGUGGCUUGGCAUGACAGAGGCGGCGGGGCCAGGGUAUGAACAGGCUUACGGAGCCAUCUCCACCCACCCACAGGACAGUUUUGAUGAGACAAAGCAAAUGGUGACGCACAGAAGGCCAGCAUGGCCCUUGCAUGCAGGGAACUUGUUGUUGAAACCAAGAUAAAUUUCUGUAUUUUUAUGAUUUUGAUAUCACAAGUCAAAUCCUGAAACCCACAUGUCACUGGGAUGAUCCAAAUGAUCUUACCGAACUGAAUGGAUUUUUUUUUCCUAUUAUACCAAAGACUAGAAAGACUUUUGAUAUCUAGGACUUUAUUUUCCUUGUCACAAUAUUCUGUAUAUUAGGAUUUGUUCAUGUCAGUUGCGUUUACUGACAGAUUAGAUUAGAUUAGAUUAGAUAUUUACUGACAGAAUUUCCUGGCAGAUUAGAAUGUGUGUGUGUGUAUGUAUUUGUUAGUAUAUUAAAACUAGUCAAAAAGCCUCUUUGCUGUUUAAAGAUAAUAUAUAAUUCUGCAAUUAAAUAUCUGUGUCCCUUUAAAAUCAUAUUCUUUUUUUUUUACCGAUGUCUACCUAUUUAGGAUGUAGUUCACUGUGAAUUUUUAAAUCAAAGAAAAUAACUUCUUCCAGUUUUUGUAAAGGGAGAUGAGGAAUGAUUUAAGCUUCACAAAUAGAACAUAGUGCUUUAAACUGUGAGGGACUUCUCACUGGGUCCAGCCUCAUCAUUAUACAGAAAAGGAAACGGGCCCUCAAAAGUGAAGCAAUUUGCCUAAAAUGACGUAGCUAAUUAGUGGCCCAGCCAAAACCCCAAUCCAGGACUUCUGGCUUUCAGUGCUGUGACCUUCCCACUAUUCCAUGCUGCCAGCUGGCUUAAAACAAAACAAAACAAACAAAAAACAAAAAACAAAAAAAAAAAAAAAAGAAGAAAAAGAAGAAAAAAUUGGAGAAUUGAGUUGACACAUUGCUUGAAUUCCCCUACCUCUUUAUAGAGUGUGAAAAAUCCUGAUAUGCUUUAAAAGAAACACUUAAAAAUGUAUCGGGACUUGUAAAGAAAAUCAGGAAUAUUUGUGAUAUGCUAAUUAGAAAGUAUCUCAUUAUGCGAGAGACAGGAAACGUGGCAGAGGGAGAUGCUAUUCAGAGUAACUUAAGGAAACUUCAAAGGUAAGACAAAAGGCCGUUCUUUUUAUUUAUUUGAUAAUGUUUGUGGCUGUCAUCAAAGUUCUGAUGGGGCCUGACACCUUUAUGAAAAACCCCCUGUAUGAAAAACACUGGGGGAAUCUCUCAGACACACGGAAGGAAAAGCAAACGAUUCCAUUUCCAUCCGAGUUUCCGUAGGUGGAAGACAGCCUUUCCCACAGUGCUCGCCUGCCAAGCAUCUUCCUGUAGGAACUUGUCAGUGCCGCCAUUAGUUGUUUGCAAAGGGAUUACGCUUUGGCAGCCAUGCUAAUCGCUCCAAGGUGACCCUUUAUUUGGAGAAACAAAUCCUUUUCAGUUGUUGUUACGGUACACUAAUCCAACCAUGCAAGUAGCUGUUUGGGAAAAAAAUUAUCAAAGUGCAUUUUCUCCCCACUACUUCUUUCUCUCCAGAUCGCUCCUAACUAAAAGUGCUGUUUCUUCCAAAGAAGUUCAAAAUGACAGGGAGAAAAACACAGAACCUGGUCAGAUUUCAAAUUCAGGAGCAGACAGGACCCCCUAGAUCUCAGAAGGAGCUGCCCCCCACCACUGAGGUUCAACAAAACCCCCAGGUGGGAGUGGACUGUCCCGUUACCUUGGGGGGGUCCUCACCCUGCUGCAGUGGGGCCCCUGUCUUUGUCUGGCCAUUGCUGCUGUUUGCCGCCAUGGUGAAGUUUGUUGCACUGUAAUGUUCAUAGAUACCCAGGAAGAGGGAGAACCGGGGAGCUUUCAGCCUCUCAGCCUGCGAGAGCCUCUAGGGAGAGACAAGGACACCUCAAAAUACCAGUUCUGACGUGAGAAGCGACUUUCAGGCAGGGUUUUGUAGAUCGUGUGGAUUUUGGAGUUGGAACACACUGGCUUGGGAUUGCAGUUUUGCAUCUUAGCUGUGUGACCGUGAACAAGUCACCUGGUCCCUGGGCGCCGCAGCUUCUUCAUCUGUAAAAUGGGUUGUGGUGAUUACCGGUAGGGAUGUUUGGAAGACACAAUGCGACAAUAUAUGUAAAGUGCCUCGCAGGGCGUAGGGCUCAUUGUGGGUCCUCAAAAAUAGUAGCAGUUAUCAUUUUUCCUAUAUUUAUGAUUAUCUAAACGCUAAUAUACCAACAACUAUUUUAGUUUAAAUUAGGACCCGGAAGAGCCCAAAUAUUAAUUUACAGCUCAGUGGAUGAUUCAAAGUGCAAAGCCCCACGUAACCACCAUCCAGGUGGUAACUAGAACAUUACAGGAUCACAGGAGCCUCAUCCCUCCCCGUCCACACGAUUUCCCCUUCCCUUCUUACCGAAUGUAGCCAUUUUCCUAAACUUCUAACACUCAACAGAUACUUCGUGAGGGUUUCCUAGAUCCCAGGCUCUAGACCACACAGUUCUUGCCCUAGGGAGCUUAGGUUUCAGAGGCAGGAGCCAGACAACAAAAGCAUAUGAGAAUGAGGGGAUUUCAGAUAACGUUAAGUGUUUGUUGUUGUUGUUUGUUUGUUUGUUUGUUUUUUGAGACAGAGUCUCACUCUGUCACCCAGGCUGGAGUGCAGUGGCACGAUCUCGGCUCAUUGCAACCUCUGCCUCCUGGGUACAAGCGAUUCUCCUGCCUCAGCCUCCCUAGUAGCUGGGAUUACAGGCACAUGCCAUCACCCCUAGCUAAUUUUUGUAUUUUGAGUAGAGACAGGGUUUCACCAUGUUGGCCAGGCUGGUCUUGAACUGCCUACCUCGGCCUCCCAAAGUGCUGUGAUUAUAGGCAUGAGCUACUGUGCCCAGCCAAUGUUAAGUGUUAUGAGGAAAAUAAAAUACCCGAAUGGGCCAGAAGACAGCUGUCAGAGGGUGCCUCUACAAGGGUGACCAGGGAAGGCCCUUCUGAAGAAGUGACAAUGGGAAGACCCAGGGAGGAGCUGUCCAUGGGAGGGAGCAGUGGGAGGCCCCUGGGCGGGAGAGGCUGGCACGCAUUUGAGUGGCAAGAAGAAGCCAUGCGAGAGUCGGCAGGGUUUACACCCUGAGGGCUCGAUACAGGCUUUGGGGGCAAAUUGCGUUUUAAGAUCAAGGGUAAUUAGUGUCCUGAGAAAAACCAAGGAAACUCAGAAGAGGGAGGGAUCGCGCCCCACCACCUCUCUCUAACGGUGCCCUGUGGGACUUGGACAGUGUGGUUUCCUUGUAAACACAGGGCCUCCCUGGACCGUCACUACCACCUCGUGAGGCCUACAAGGAAGGCGUGGUUAUUUCCGGUCAGACAGGAGGUGACAGACACUGGGAGGGCCUAAGGCUUGUUGCAGAACUCCUUUUACCACACCAGGGAGCCCACCAAUCUCACUGGGGAUGUUUAGGUUGCUCAUGUCAUCGUAGUUCAGGAUCUUCCGACCUAAGAAACAAGCCAACUCCUGCAGGAAGCAGGUAGCCUUGUGUCUCCCACAAGGUCAUCUGAGAAC
rnacentral:lncRNA from 1 species